GCAUGGCGGCGGCUACAAUGCAGUCGACGGUUGAAGAAGAGCUUGCUGCUUCGCUGACGAGUGGCAGAGGGGAGAGUAAUGUCUGGGAAACUGCCUGAUGGAGGGGGAUAACUCCGGAAAACGGGGCCUAAUCCCGAAUACCGUCUCAACACCAAAGAUCGAGACCUUCAGGCCUCUUCCCCUCUCAUUUACCCAUAUGCCAUUAGCUAAUAAGCGAGGUAACGGCUCACCUGCGCGACAAUGCCACAAGAUGACCGGGUGAUCGGCCACUGAGACACGGUCCCGACUCCUACGGGACGCAGCAGUGGGGAAUAUUGGAAUCUUCCCGCAAGCCUGAUGCUCCCAUGCCGCAUGUCCGAAUAAGGCCUUCGGGUUGUAAAGGACUUUCAGCGGGGAGGAAGGCAAUAACGUUUGCUACUUUAAUAAUUGGGCUUACCCGCGGAACCUAACCCGGCUGCCUCCGCUACCUCCGUGCCAGCAACCGCGAGGGUGCAUGGGUUGCAAGCAAUUACCGGGAAUUAUUGCGCACGCAGGCCGCCCGUCUGGUUUCAUGUGAUAUCUUUGAACUCCCCCUGGCUAACUCCCCAGCGUGGGAACUGCAUUCGAAACUGGCAGGCUAGAGUCUGGUGGAGGGAGGAUAGACUUCCAGGUGUAGCGUUGAAAUGCGUAUAGAUCGGGAGGACUACCGGUGGGGAAGGCGGCCCCCUUGUACAAAGAUUGACGCUCAGGUGCGAAAGGGUGGGAAGCAAACAGGAUUAGAUACCUUGGUAGUCCACGCCGUAAACGAUGUCGACUAGGAGGUGGUGCCCUUGAGGCGUGGCUUCCGGAGCUAACGCGUUAAGUCGUCCGCCUGGGGAGUACGGCCGCAAGGUUAAAACUCAAAUGAAUUGACGGGGGCCCGCACAAGCGGUGGAGCAUGUGGUUUAAUUCGAUGCAACGCGAAGAACCUUACCUAGUCUUGACAUCCAGAGAACUUAGCAGAGAUGCUUUGGUGCCUUCGGGAACUGUGAGACAGGUGCUGCAUGGCUGUCGUCAGCUCGUGUUGUGAAAUGUUGGGUUAAGUCCCGCAACGAGCGCAACCCUUAUCCUUUGUUGCCAGCGGUUAGGCCGGGAACUCAAAGGAGACUGCCAGUGAUAAACUGGAGGAAGGUGGGGAUGACGUCAAGUCAUCAUGGCCCUUACGAGUAGGGCUACACACGUGCUACAAUGGCGCAUACAAAGAGAAGAAACCUCGCGAGAGCAAGCGGACUUCAUAAACUGUGUUGUAGUCCGGAUUGGAGUCUGCAAUUGGACUCCAUGAAGUCGGAAUCGCUAGUAAUCGUGAAUCAGAAUGCCACGGUGAAUACGUUCCCGGCCCUUGUACACACCGCCCGUCACACCAUGGGAGUGGGUCCAAAAGAAGUAGGUAGCUUAACCUUCGGGACGGCGCUACUCACGUUGAUCAAUGU
rnacentral:rRNA from 1 species